GCAGACCAGGAAGGCUGGAUCAAAGUGUCCAGCUGGUAAAAGAAGAGUCAGCUGUAGGGCCUGAUCCUCUGGUAUUAGCUGCCCAGGGGGAGAGCAGUGAGAUGAGCUCUCCCGGUGGGUAAUAAAAUGAGUCUAGAAGGGAGGAAGCAGGAUGUAUAAAGCCCAGGAGCCUGAUCUGUUUCUGAGAUCAAACAGAGCAGCAUUGUACCGGGGUGUGGAGCUGAUGUCAGCGUCUAGAAUGCUGGUCGGAAUCGCCCUGGUUACGCAGCUGGACCGGAAUAAGGCAAAUAUUCUUCAGCAUUUUCUGGACAUUCAUUCCAAAUAACUAACCGACAAAGAUUUACAGAAAAUCUUCCAUACCGUGGACCCAACCCAUGAGAAGCAAAAAAGAGAAAGAACAACAAAAGAAUAGCUGCCAUUUUUUACGUGUUUUUUUUUUUUUUAUCUUUUAAGAACUUAAAUAGGCUUUCAAAUAUUGUAUUUCAUCUCAUUCAAUCCAAAGUAUUACUCUUCUUUUACAGAUAAGUAAACUGAAGAGCAUAUGACCCGGAUCACAUGGUUUAUGAGCGACUGAGUUGGGGACUCCAGUUCUCUUACAUCUCUAUUCCUCUGCCUACAAAGACUAGGGUUAAUUUUUUUUUAUAAAAGUCAUUUUAUUUAUUGGGUGCACAAUGGGGCAUGUGGAAUCAGAGUUCUCUGACCAGGGAUUGAACCCAUGCCCCCUGCAUUGGAAACACAGUUAUAACCACUGGACAGCUAGGGAGUUUUAAAUAAAUGUACAGCAUAUAAUGUAAUGUUCUUACAAUAUUAAAAAUGUUAAAGAAUGUCUUUUACAGACUCCUGGGUAAAAAAAAAAUUGGAAUUAAUUGCUUACAUUCUUGUAUACCAGAUCUCCUGUGAAAGGACCCAGAGAAGAAGAAACAAAGAAAAAACUUUGCUGGCAGGGAGGACAAGCACAGGAAAGUGUGCCUUCCACAAGUAGAAAGCCUGGGGCCAUCCUGUUCAACCUGGUGCUGCUGGGACCAGAGAAAGGGAGACGCUAAAGGCCAUCUCACUGCUCUGACUUGUGAAGUCCACGGAUCCAGGAAGUAAGUGGCAUAGAGACUGAGGCCAGGCCCCCCAAACCUGACUGCCAUCCCUAUUUCAGCUGUGAAGCUUGGAGGGCCAGAGGCAAUGAUGAAAAGGCUGCUGCCCAGAGAAGGCAGAGAUUUACAGGCAAGUUAAGGAAACUUAGAAAGCAACAGAUAAUUAAAUUUUUCAUUAAAAACAAUAAAGAGUAGACUGGACAUAGCAAAAAAGUCAAAAUCAGUGGUACAGAAGAGAAACUCUGUCAUGGGGUAUGGAGAAAAAAGACAAAGUGAUUGAAAUAAGAGAAAAGAUAAUUUGGAUUAAAAGAACUGAUAAGACAGAAAAUAUAGAUAAGAGAUGUUGCUGGGAAAAACAAAAGAGAACAGAAUAAAUAAAACAAAAUAACAAAAAACUAUAAAAGAAUAAAACUUUCCUGAGCUGAUACAACCAUAAGGGUCAGAGUCAGCUGCCUGGGACAGAAAUGAAGUUUAUAAACAUUAAAUUUCAAGAGAGUCUAAGAAAUAUGGGUUUUAUUCCAAAUAGCUAUGUGCAUAUGAAAAUCAAGAAUUAGGUUGCUAAGAAGGGAAAUGUGCCUUUAGGGGAAACAUUACCAACGUCUGUCAUAAUUGGAAUACUGAAUAUUUGCAGAUCAAAAGGUCCCACUGAGUACCUGGCAAAUUACCUCAAAGAUUUCAAUUACUAGAUACAUUCAAGUUCAGGAACAAUAGAAGAAUUUUACAAUUAUCCAGGCCUCAGAUAGCCCUGCAACAUUAAAGAUCAAAUGACAAUAGAGAAAUAUCUAUAGUUUUGGGUGCAAAAGUUUGCCAGUUAAGACUUGUAAGCUCAUCCAAGUUGUCAUUCAUGUCUGAAGGAACUAUAAGAAGAUUUCUAGCUACUCAGAGACUCUUAAAGUAAGUCACUCACAUCCUUCUUGAAAAAACGUACUUAAGUUACACUCCAGCCAACUGAGAUUAAUCAAAAUAAAGAAUGGAGAAGUUCUGAUGAAAUGGAACUCAUGGUGAUUACUAAAACCAUUUAAGUAUAUCACAUAAAAUAAUGUUAAAACAUGAUUGUAAAAGAGUUUUUAAAAUACAAAAUAAUAAUUAUUGAAUGAGAAAAUAAUGUUAAGAAUAACAUCUGGUAUACCUGUGGCUGAUUUAUCUUGAUGUAUGGCAAAAGCCAUAACAAUAUUGUAAAAUAAUUAUCCUCUAAUUAAAAAAAAAUAAUAUCUGGUA